rnacentral:rRNA from 1 species
UCCUCCUUUUUCUCUCUUUUCUCUUCCUUCCUUUUCUUCCAUCUCACUUAUUCUUCUUUCUAAUUCUGGGGUGAAAUCCUGGAGCUCAACUCCAGAACUGCCUUCGAUACUGGAGAGCUCGAGUCCGGGAGAGGUGAGUGGAACUGCGAGUGUAGAGGUGAAAUUCGUAGAUAUUCGCAAGAACACCAGUGGCGAAGGCGGCUCACUGGCCCGGUACUGACGCUGAGGUGCGAAAGCGUGGGGAGCAAACAGG